CACGCCGUAAACGAUGAGUGCUAAGUGUUAGAGGGGUCACACCCUUUAGUGCUGUAGCUAACGCGAUAAGCACUCCGCCUGGGGAGUACGGCCGCAAGGCUGAAACUCAAAGGAAUUGACGGGGGCCCGCACAAGCGGUGGAGCAUGUGGUUUAAUUCGAAGCAACGCGAAGAACCUUACCAGGUCUUGACAUCCCCUGACAACCCAAGAGAUUGGGCGUUCCCCCUUCGGGGGGACAGGGUGACAGGUGG
rnacentral:rRNA from 1 species